AGAGUUUGAUCCUGGCUCAGAACGAACGCUGGCGGUAUGCUUAACACAUGCAAGUCGAACGAGAAAGUUCCUUCGGGGAUGAGUAAAGUGGCAAACGGGUGAGUAAUAUAUAUGAAUCUACCCUGUAGUGAGGAACAAGCGUUGGAAACGGCGUCUAAUACCACAUACUACCGAUUUAUCGGGAAAGGAUAGUCUCUCGGGGCUAUUUGCUAUAGGAUGAGCAUAUAUCGGAUUAGCUAGUUGGUAGGGUAAAGGCCUACCAAGGCGAUGAUCCGUAGCUGGUCUGAGAGGGUGAUCAGCCACAUUGGGACUGCGACACGGCCCAAACUCCUACGGGAGGCAGCAGUGAGGAAUAUUGGACAAUGGACGAAAGUCUGAUCCAGCAAUACCGCGUGAAUGAUGAAGGUCUUAGGAUUGUAAAAUUCUUUUAGUGGGGAAGAUAAUGACGGUACCCACAGAAAAAGCACCGGCUAACUUCGUGCCAGCAGCCGCGGUAAUACGAAGGGUGCUAGCGUUGUUCGGAUUUAUUGGGCGUAAAGCGUAUGUAGACGGUUUAGUAAGUUAGUUGUUAAAGCCCAGAGCUCAACUUUGGAAUGCCAAUUAAAACUGCUUUACUAGAGUAUGAUAGAGGAUGGCAGAAUUUCUAGUGUAGGGGUGAAAUCCGUAGAUAUUAGAAGGAAUACCAGUAGCGAAAGCGGCUGUCUUAGUCAUUACUGACGUUGAGAUACGAAGGCGUGGGGAGCGAACAGGAUUAGAUACCCUGGUAGUCCACGCAGUAAACGAUGAUCACUAAGUGCUUGAAUUUAUUUUGGGCGCUAAAGCUAACGCGUUAAGUGAUCCGCCUGGGUAGUACGGCCGCAAGGCUAAAACCUAAAGGAAUUGACGGGGACCCGCACAAGCGGUGGAACAUGUGGUUUAAUUCGAUGGUCCGCGAAGAACCUUACCAGUUUUUGACAUUGCAAUCGUAGAUACUAGAGAUAGUUUCGUCAGUUCGGCUGGAUUGUGAACAGGGAUGCACGGCCGUCGUCAGCUCGUGCCGUGAGGUGUUAGGUUGAGUCCUUUAACGAGCGCAACCCCCAUCUUUAUUUGCCAGCGGGUAAUGCCGGGAACUAUAAAGAAACUGCCAAUGAUAAGUUGGAGGAAGGAGGGGAUGAGGUCAGGUCAUCAUGUCCUUUAUGAACUGGGCUACACACAUGUUACAAUGGGAGUUACAAUUAGGAACGAAGGGGUGACCCGGAGUAAAUCUGUAAAAAGCUCUCUCAGUUCGGAUUACAGGCUGCAACUCGCCUGUAUGAAGUUGGAAUCGCUAGUAAUCGUAAAUCAGCACGUUACGGUGAAUACGUUCUCGGGUCUUGUACACACUGCCCGCCAAGCCAUGAAAAUUCUUUUUACCUGAAUUAUUCGAGCUAACCCGCAAGGGAGGCAGCAUAACACGGUAGGGGGAGUAAUUGGGGUUAAGGCGGAACAAGGUA
rnacentral:rRNA from 1 species